rnacentral:rRNA from 1 species
UACAGAGGAUGCAAGCGUUAUCCGGAAUGAUUGGGCGUAAAGCGUCUGUAGGUGGCUUUUUAAGUCCGCCGUCAAAUCCCAGGGCUCAACUCUGGACAGGCGGUGGAAACUACCAAGCUGGAGUACGGUAGGGGCAGAGGGAAUUUCCGGUGGAGCGGUGAAAUGCGUAGAGAUCGGGAAGAACACCAACGGCGAAAGCACUCUGCUGGGCCGACACUGACACUGAGGCGCGAAAGCGUGGGGAGCAAACAGG